GAACCAUCGCGGCCGCCGCCAGCCGGGCCCUCCGCGGCCGCGCGUCCUGGGCCCGUUCCGCCAGCCCCGUCUGCUCUCUACCCGCGGCCCCGCGGCGGCGACCGUGAACACUCGGCGGCCCCUACAGCCCGCUCUCGGCCCUUCGUCCCUCGCGGGCCCCGACUCUCCCUCCUUGCAGUCCCCCGGAGCCUGGCGCCCGGCUCGGGCCGCACCGCCAGGGACUGGGGUGAGCGGCCCAGAAAUCUCCAAAUUGGACAUCCACAGCAGCAUUCUUGUUCUAUCUACGUCUUGAAUUAGAAACUACCAAGCUCUGUAAGUCCUGAAAAGGAAAUAAAAGCAAUUUCCUGCUGCAGAGAGCAUUUUAAGAAAGGACAGCAUUCCUGUGACCUCUGCCUACCAUCCAUAAAAUACUCAUUCCCCUCUCAGGGCAAACUUUGUUAAAAGGAAGUCUUACAUGGAGGAUUUAAACAAAACAGAUAAAAGCUGAGUGGAUUUGAUCAGAGUGGCUGGGGCUUGGAGCUUCACCCUAUGGCCUUUCCCAGAACCCUUCGUCCCCACAUGCUCCACAUCCUCAGCUCUGCAGACUCCAGCUUGAAAGCCUUCACCCUUGAAAAACAACCAAGAUGAAUGAGGAAGAGACAGUCAAAUAAAGUUAAAAACUGCAGGAGCAGCUGAAGACCAGCAGGAUUGCAGAGAUCCACCGUCUGGAAGUACUUCCUGCCUUGGCUUGCUGAAAUCCAGCAAAGAGCACAGAAUGACUGACCCUGUUCCUUGAGGCUGUGGAGGAUUCUCAGUGAUUCCACUGGUCAAAUGAUGUGAGACACAGGGGAAGACCUAUGAAAGCCUGCUGGUGCUAAGACAUUGAGCUAAAUGUCUUAAGUGGUGAAUAGUUCGAACAGAGAAGACAGGAACAGACUGCACAGGACAAGCCCAUCCAAAUCAGAGAUGAUGUAGAAGUGGUGAUGGUUCCCCUCCUAGUCAUGAAGGCUCUCACCCUGGAAGUGGACUGUGAAGUGCUCAAUGAGGAGAAGGAGUUUCGCAUACCCACCUAGAUCUCCAUCUCCCCAUGUUCAUAAGCAGUUGCCAUCACCUGAUUGUUGUAGUACUGGGGAUGCCAUAACAUAGAUAAAACCUGCUAAGAUUCUGUGAGUCAGUCCUGGGUUAUCCCAGUACCCUGGAACCACAGCUACUGGAGAUGUGGCCCUAGCAUUACAGAUAAACAAACUACAACAACAAAAAAGUGGCCUUAUAGAGAUUUUAGUUCCUAUUACCAACUAAUUAUAUUUCAGAUUUUUAUAUAUGGAUAUCUGUAAUAUUCUGGGGAAGAAAUAUAAAGACAGAAUUCACCAUGUCUCCUCGGGACUCUGUGAUGAUCUCUGCAAGAAACAGUGCAAAGACAAUUUUUAUUUGCUUUAAAAAUUAAAUGCCUUUUUUAUGAAGUAUAGUUUUAAAAUACUACGUAUUUUGUACUAAUAGUACUAAAAAUCAUGGCAAAUUUUUUUUCUCUGUUUUUAAAAAA
rnacentral:sRNA from 1 species